rnacentral:rRNA from 1 species
GAUGAACGCUGGCGGCGUGCCUAAUACAUGCAAGUCGAGCGAACAGACGAGGAGCUUGCUCCUCUGACGUUAGCGGCGGACGGGUGAGUAACACGUGGAUAACCUACCUAUAAGACUGGGAUAACUUCGGGAAACCGGAGCUAUUACCGGAUAACAUGUUGAACCGCAUGGUUCAACAGUGAAAGACGGUCUUGCUGUCACUUAUAGAUGGAUCCGCGCCGCAUUAGCUAGUUGGUAAGGUAACGGCUUACCAAGGCAACGAUGCGUAGCCGACCUGAGAGGGUGAUCGGCCACACUGGAACUGAGACACGGUCCAGACUCCUACGGGAGGCAGAAGUAGGGAAUCUUCCGCAAUGGGCGAAAGCCUGACGGAGCAACGCCGCGUGAGUGAAGAAGGUCUUCGGAUCGUAAAACUCUGUUAUUAGGGAAGAACAAAUGUGUAAGUAACUAUGCACGUCUUGACGGUACCUAAUCAGAAAGCCACGGCUAACUACGUG